GCUCAAUUGCAAACUCUCCUUGGUGUAUCUCUGAUAGAGGUUUUAUCACGACAUUCAACUGAUGAGGUUUAUCUUGGGCAAAACGAUACUCCUGAGUGGACUUCAGAUGCUGAAGCACUAGCAGCAUUUGCAAGAUUUGGAGAGAAGCUGAUGGACAUCGAAAAGGGAAUCAAUGAAAGGAACAAGGAUAUGAGAUUGAAGAACAGAGUUGGGCCUGUAGACAUGCCUUAUACCUUGCUCUAUCCUAACACAUCAGACACGAGCAGAGAGGGUGGACUCACUGGAAAAGGAAUUCCCAACAGUGUCUCAAUCUGAACCUUUUGAUCUGUAUACUAGAUGAAUAUUUUUGAAGUAAUAAUAGUGUGACAUCGUAC
rnacentral:lncRNA from 1 species